GUUGCAGGGGAAAGGAGAGAAAGGAAUCCCGUAACCCUUACGGUGAACUCCGAACGCCGUAUCUCCUCCGUCCGAGCUCCAAUCGCCGCACCGUUUGUGACCACGCGACCACCGCAUCGAGCUCUACGUUUCUACUGGAACAAUUUUAUAGGAUCCAAUUAGCUUGAGGAAAACGUUCACUCUUGCUUAUGUGAAGCUUGGGUAAGGUUGUGAAUAAAUAAUUGGAGCCUGAAAUUGUGAAUACUGGAACUUGGAGGAAGCGGAUUAGUUGAGUUUUGAGGGGCUGUCUUGGUUUUGAAUAAAUAACUUUGGUCGUUACGUGAAAAUCGGCCAAGGUAUGGUUUAGGUUUCUUGCAUUUAAUAUAUAAUGUUCUGUGAAAACUUAGGCUAGAUGACCAUAGGAUAAGUUGGAAUGCAGGUGUAUGUUUAAUGUUUAGUAAUUUGUCGAUGAAUAUAAUUGGUUAUUAAUUUUGGAUGUUGAAUGUUGUUAUGUUAAUUUGGAGAGAAUUAUAGUUGAAUGUUAUUGUUGAUGAACAUGGUUGGUUUGGUGCUUGUUGAUUAAUUAAUGAUUUGGUGAAUUAUUGAUUUGAGGUAUUGUGUGUUAAAAGCCUAGGAUUUGUGAACUAUGACUCUUAGUUGAAUUUUGGUUGUUGGAUUUGAAGAUUGUAUGAGUUUAAUUGUUGAUCUGAAGUAGAUUUUUGUGGAGAUUGUUAUGAUAAUGAGGAAGGGUAUGUUGAAUUGAAAAGAAAGCAGGUUUGGACCCGAAAAGGGUGGCAAAGUCCGAGUUUUAGAGGAGAUGCUGCCGAAAUUUUAUAAAAAUUAGAGAUUUUGUUUAUAUGAUUAUUUAAAAAGAUUUAGAUUCAAAGGUUAUAUGGUUUGAUUUAGAGUUAUUAAGAAAAUGAGUAUGUUUUAAGUUUGAUUCAUUUAGAAAAGAAUGAGUUAUGUUUUGAAUUGGAACUAUUGAUGGACGGAAUGGGAGGUGUGAUAAUGAAGGAUAAGGAUUGAAUAUGAUUGAUGUAUGACGAUGAAUGAAAUGUGAUUGAGAAUGAUGUGGAUAUUGAUGAAUUAUAAUUAAAUUAUUUAAAUGGCUUAUGAAUUUGAAUAAUCUGAGAUACGAGAUUCCCUGGAUUAAGUGCCGUGGCUUGCCACCACGUGUACCAGGUUGAAAACUCGAUACUCUGUUGACCCUACGACGUAAGUGUGUGACCGGGCACUAUAUGAAUUCCCGGGAAUGUUACCCCCAUUGAGUAUUAUUGAUUAUUUGAGAAAAACUAUGCAUAGACUCUUGGGGAUGCACGUCGGGGGACAGUCUAAGUACAAUUCAGACUUGUCGGGUUGGCUGGAUAACCGACAGAUGAGCCUCAUCAGCCAUAGGACAGGCAUGCA